rnacentral:rRNA from 1 species
CCCUUAGAUGUCCUGGGCCGCACGCGUGCUACACUGAUGCAUACAGCGAGUACUCCCAGCUCCGCGAGGCUGCUGGUAAUCAGCAAUAUGCAUCGUGAUGGGGAUAGAUCUUUGGAAUUAUAGAUCUUGAACGAGGAAUUCCUAGUAAACGCAAGUCAUCACCUUGCGUUGACUAAGUCCCUGCCCUUUGUACACACCGCCCGUCGCUCCUACCGAUUUCGAGUGAUCCGGUGAAUCAUUCGGACCGCGUGGGCUUGACCUAACGUGGAGAGUCUAGUAAACCAUAUCACUUAGAGGAAGGAGAAGUCGUAACA